GAUGAACGCUAGCUACAGGCUUAACACAUGCAAGUCGAGGGACCGGCGCACGGGUGAGUAACACGUAUCCAACCUGCCCUUUACUCGGGGAUAGCCUUUCGAAAGAAAGAUUAAUACCCGAUAUAAAGGAUGGGGAUGCGUUCCAUUAGGUUGUUGGGGAGGUAACGGCUCACCAAGCCUUCGAUGGAUAGGGGUUCUGAGAGGAAGGUCCCCCACAUUGUAACGGGGACCCGGGCCAAACGCCUACGGGAGGCAGCAGUGAUGAGUAUUGGUCAAUGGUCGCUAGCCUGAACCUGCCAAUUAGCGUGAAGAAUGAAGGGUUAUGGGUCUUAAACUUCUUUUAUAUAAGAAUAUGUAUUAUAUGAAUAAGGAUCUGCUAACUCCGUGCCAGCCGCCGCGGUAAUAC
rnacentral:rRNA from 1 species